rnacentral:sRNA from 1 species
UUCCCAGGUCUGCCGGAUCGAUUUUGGC